GGAUUAGCUAGUUGGCGGGGUAAAGGCCCACCRAGGCGACGAUCCGUAGCUGGUCUGAGAGGAUGAUCAGCCACACUGGAACUGAGACACGGUCCAGACUCCUACGGGAGGCAGCAGUGGGGAAUAUUGGACAAUGGGCGCAAGCCUGAUCCAGCCAUACCGCGUGGGUGAAGAAGGCCUUCGGGUUGUAAAGCCCUUUUGUUGGGAAAGAAAAGCAGUCGAUUAAUACUCGGUUGUUCUGACGGUACCCAAAGAAUAAGCACCGGCUAACUUCGUGCCAGCAGCCGCGGUAAUACGAAGGGUGCAAGCGUUACUCGGAAUUACUGGGCGUAAAGCGUGCGUAGGUGGUUGUUUAAGUCUGUUGUGAAAGCCCUGGGCUCAACCUGGGAAUUGCAGUGGAUACUGGGCGACUAGAGUGUGGUAGAGGGUAGUGGAAUUCCCGGUGUAGCAGUGAAAUGCGUAGAGAUCGGGAGGAACAUCCAUGGCGAAGGCAGCUACCCUG
rnacentral:rRNA from 1 species